AAAUUGAAGAGUUUGAUCAUGGCUCAGAUUGAACGCUGGCGGCAGGCCUAACACAUGCAAGUCGAACGGUAACAGGAAGCAGCUUGCUGCUUUGCUGACGAGUGGCGGACGGGUGAGUAAUGUCUGGGAAACUGCCCGAUGGAGGGGGAUAACUACUGGAAACGGUAGCUAAUACCGCAUAACGUCGCAAGACCAAAGAGGGGGACCUUAGGGCCUCUUGCCAUCGGAUGUGCCCAGAUGGGAUUAGCUAGUAGGUGGGGUAAA
rnacentral:rRNA from 1 species